rnacentral:rRNA from 11 species
ACACGGUGGAUGCCCUGGCAGUCAGAGGCGAUGAAGGACGUGCUAAUCUGCGAAAAGCGUCGGUAAGGUGAUAUGAACCGUUAUAGCCGACGAUGUCCGAAUGGGGAAACCCAGUGUGUUUCGACACACUAUCGUUAACUGAAUACAUAGGUUAACGAGGCGAACCGAGGGAACUGAAACAUCUAAGUACCUCGAGGAAAAGAAAUCAACCGAGAUUCCCCCAGUAGCGGCGAGCGAACGGGGAGGAGCCCAGAGUCUGCAUCAGUCAGUGUGUUAAUGGAACGGUCUGGAAAGUCCGGCGAUACAGGGUGAUAGCCCCGUACAUGAAAAUGCAUUGAUUGUGAGCUCGAAGAGUAGGGCGGGACACGUGGUAUCCUGUCUGAAUAUGGGGGGACCAUCCUCCAAGGCUAAAUACUACUGACUGACCGAUAGUGAACUAGUACCGUGAGGGAAAGGCGAAAAGAACCCCGGAGA